UACGUAGGGCGCGAGCGUUGUCCGGAAUUAUUGGGCGUAAAGAGCUCGUAGGCGGCCUGUUGCGUCCGCUGUGAAAUCCCAGGGCUCAACCCUGGGCGUGCAGUGGAUACGGGCAGGCUGGAGGCAGGCAGGGGAGAACGGAAUUCCCGGUGUAGCGGUGAAAUGCGCAGAUAUCGGGAGGAACACCGGUGGCGAAGGCGGCAUCCUGGACUGGUCCUGACACUCAUGAGCGAAAGCGUGGGGAGCGAUCCGG
rnacentral:rRNA from 1 species